CUUUUUUUUUUGUUUAUCAUCUUCAGUUUCGUCUAUUUAGAGUCUGUCAGUGAUUUUGUAGAAUUGCAAUACUGCGUUCGCUGUUGGUACUGUCGAAGCUUAUUUUGUUCUCCGGGAGUUGCCAUAGUUGGCAGGGGGGUGUUUAUGUUGGACUGCGCGGGUUUUUGGGUCGUGUCAAACGGAGACUGAAGGCACGAGUGAAGUUGUUUUCUUACUGCACCAACAAACUUGGUCCUUAUUGACUGCUGUCCCCGCCGGAUACACCAAAUACAACCCUUGGCUACAUGACUACGGACACCAAAGACACGAUUUUGACGCUGAACUCACUCAACUGAGGAGCAUCAUGGACGGCGACGAUGUCUUAUUUCUUGCUGAUUUGCUGUUGGAGGAAUGCAAGAAUACUCAACCUAAAGAAUCCUCAGAAGUGUCUGGACUGGACAAAGAAACAUUUGUUUGGGUUGAGGAGGACGAGGAAGGGAAUCCUAUCCCAAAGAGGAGGAGAACAGGGAAGAAGCGGACAAAGAGUUCAUCCUCAGAUAAGCAGCCAUCAACCUCCUCCACCAUCCAUCCGUCCACAACCUCUGCCAGCCAGCCACCAACCUCCUCCACCAUCCAUCCGUCCACAACCUCUGCCAGCCAGCCAUCAACCUCCUCCAAAAGAGCCUCCGCAGGCCCACCGUAGCUUACCUCCAAGAAAAAGCACCAGAAGGAAGACAGAAGAUGGAUCGGAAGGAUCUUAUAUAUUAUAAAUCAUACAUUACCUUGCAAAGAUGAACAAAAUACAGCCAUAUGGUUGGGCAUGAUAAUUAUUACCCAGUGAAACGGGUAGUAAAGACAAGAUAAUGUAAUGGAACUGAUAGAGUGGGAGCCCUGCUCCAUGUGGUAUGUAUGUUUUCUCUCUUCUUUAUGAAGAAAUGUGAGGCUUGACUGAGGCAGCCAGAGAAGGCAUUCGUCAAAGUAGUCUGUAAAGUAAAAAGUAAGUCUGGGGUGCAUGUACCUUUCGAACAAUGAAUAGUGCUGGGUGGUUAGUGCUGAUGGGUGGUUACUGCUGAUGUAUUCCAAGUGUAGUAGAGGAUCAACCCAAUAGUAUGAUGGUAAUGUGAGUGUACUUGCAAUCCAUGAGUCCCUGUAAAAGGGAGAAAGGUAUUGAUGGGCCAUUAUGUUAAUGUAUAAGUUAAAGAGAUGACAGUGGGUGCUACAAUCAGGGCUUAUGACAACAUCAGCUAGUUAUGAAAGACAAAGGCUCUAUUCACAUGUUGAUCUAGCUGAGGGGGUGUUCAAGACAGUAUUGUAUAAAGCUGAAAGAUAGGGUCCAAGCCCACACCCCUUGUUAGAAAAAUGAUUUCUAAUUUGACAAAGUGGCUUCUUUAACUCCUCUUUCAUCCUCAAACAUCUCCCUUUUGCCAAUAUAUCAACAUCGCUGCUUUCAGGGCGUUGUCUGUAAAUGAUUCAUGUAAGAACAGUUGAGUUUUGUCCAGUGAAUUAGCUCUUGUUGUUUGUUUAGUUGUUUGUUGAACCAUCCAUUUAUGGAGAGGGUGGAAUCCACUGCACUCUUGGUUGCAGUGGACUGCAUACUCACAUUUGCUUGUCUUGUGGUGAGUUGUUUAGUCCAUGGGUGAAUGGUUUCUGUCUCAAAGGGUUGCAAGGUUUGAAGUGAAAACGAGUGUGAUGUUUGCUGGCAAAUCUGCAACAAGCCAAUGUCCCUGUGUUGCUGGACAUUCUCAUCCUUAUUUUUAAUAAAGGUCCCUUGGAUAGCCAUAAUUUGAGCAGUGUUUUCUGCAUUCUCCCUUCACAUGCUGUUUUAGUGUUAACAUUGUGGGCCUGAUACAGCAAAGGUCUGAGAUCAAGUUUGUGUUCCAAUGGCAAUGCCUCAGUCAAACUACUAUAGAUGAAAGUCUUAGAUACACAAAUGUACAUGUUAAUGUAUGUGCUACAAACUGAAGACCACCGAGGAUCAUUGUUCUUUACCUUGCUGUGAUUAAAUCUUUUUUUUUUUUUUCUCUUGCAGUGGAAAGAGUUUCCAAGGCAAAGGCAGAAACCAAAAACCA